AAUUUGAAUCCGUUUACGGGUGCUCGCAUAUAGCAACCCGCUAGUUGCGACAUAAUAGGGAAGCCCCUUAAAAAGGGCACGGACCCGCCGCUGUAAUCGGUGACGAACACUGCAUGUCUUGAGUUUAAUUCAAGACAAAAGCCACUGUCCCGCUCUUUCUUAGGAAAGAGCGGGAUGGGAAGGCGCAGCCAUUAGGAUGACCCGACAGUCAGAAGACCUGCCCGUAAAUGCUUCACAUU
rnacentral:ncRNA from 2 species